ACGGCGAGUGAAGAGGGAAAAGCCCAAAUUUGUAAUCUGGCUCUUUCAGAGUCCGAGUUGUAAUUUUGAGAACUGUUUUCCGUGCUGGACCAUUUCUAAGUCUGUUGAAAAGCAGCAUCAUUGAGGGUGAUAAUCCCGUUCAUGAUAUGGACUCCCAGUGCUAUAUGAUACAGUUUCUAAGAGUCGAGUUGUUUGGGAAUGCAGCUCAAAGUGGGUGGUAAAUUCCAUCUAAGGCUAAAUAUAGGUGAGAGACCGAUAGCAAACAAGUACCGUGAGGGAAAGAUGAAAAGAACUUUGGAAAGAGAGUUAACAGUACGUGAAAUUGUUAUGUGGGAAACAAUUGAAGUUAGCCUUGUUCUUGUUAGUUCAGCUCUUUUAGAGUGUAUUCUAAUGAUGGACAGACCAACAUCAGUUUCUGGGUGCCGGAUAAGGGUCUUGGAAAUGUAGCAGUCUUGGCUGUGUUAUAGUCCUUGACUUGGAUACAGUGCUUGAGACUGAGGAAUGCAGCAAGC
rnacentral:rRNA from 1 species